UGCGCGCCGCCAGGAGAGAGCCGCACCCCCGAGCGCGGCCGCCGAAGGCGCAGAGGCGGGUCUGGAACCCCGAUCUCGAACGCUCAGGCAGAAGGACUGGCAAGCGUCG
rnacentral:ncRNA from 2 species